rnacentral:snRNA from 1 species
AUCGCUUCUCGGCCUUUUGGCUAAGAUCAAGUGUAGUAACUAGCAUGAGACAACACUCAUCCAACUGAGCCACACCGGCCACGGUCCGAAUUUGCUCACUUUAUAACUGGAGCAUGAUUAGUAUUUAAUUCUCAGACUCCAUUCAAUUUUCUGCAUUUGCCUAGUUAUGUCCUU